GGCUCCUCUCAGGAUCGUUGGCUAGAGCCUGGCGCUGACAACGCCAAGGUUGCAGGUUCGAUCCCCGUAUGAGACA